AAGAAGAAGAAGAGGAAGAACAAGGAAGAGGAGGAGGAGGAAGGGAGGAAGAAAAGAAAAAAUAUUAGCCCGUGGUGGUGGCACACACCUAUAGUCCCAGCUAUUUGGGACGCUGAGGCCAGAAGACCCCUUGAGGCCAGGAGUUUGAGGCUGCAGUGAGCCAUGAUUAUGCUACUGUGCUCCAGCCUGUGAGACAGAGUGAUAUCUUAUGUCAAAAUAAAUAAAUAAGUAUUGGUGAAAAUAUAAUAGGAUAAAAUUGCAAGCCAUAGGAAAUGGAAGUCUAGCACUUACAGAGAGAUGGUAAUAUUGUGAAGCAACAGUGUAUUGAAAUUAUGAAAUAAGAGUUUUUCAUGCAAAUGUGAGGAAUUUGCUGAGGACAAGUAAGAAGAAGGCCAAUUCCUAUUGUGCAAAUCCUCUGGUCACUGGCU
rnacentral:lncRNA from 1 species